rnacentral:rRNA from 1 species
UACGAAGGGGGCUAGCGUUGUUCGGAAUUACUGGGCGUAAAGCGUGCGCAGGCGGUUGUGCAAGACAGGUGUGAAAUCCCCGGGCUUAACCUGGGAACUGCACUUGUGACUGCACAGCUGGAGUACGGCAGAGGGGGAUGGAAUUCCGCGUGUAGCAGUGAAAUGCGUAGAUAUGCGGAGGAACACCGAUGGCGAAGGCAGUCCCCUGGGCCUGUACUGACGCUCAUGCACGAAAGCGUGGGGAGCAAACAGG